AGUUUUUGUUGGAAACAGUUCCACUCAAUCUGACUGCAAUUGAAUUCCACAAAACAAACUACAUCAAAAUCUUCUGUAGUAACUUCACACGUUCCUGAUGUCGCUUCCGCAAUCGAGGACUUGUUGGAGCAGACAACUAAGGUUCAUCAUCAAAAACCACCGUAGCCGAUCGUGGGGAUCCUAACGAUCCCCGAGUAAGAUUAAAACGUGAUUGUGUUGGGAUUAUGGCUGCUUUCAAACUUGAGCAGCCUUUUCAUCAUGUUGUAAUUCUAGCCAACACCCAUCUUUGUUGGGAUCCAGAAUGGGCUGAUGUGAAGCUCGCUCAGGCUAAGUAUCUUUUAUCACGCCUAGCUCGAUUCAAAUCUUUAGUUGCUGAAAAGUUUGAAUGCACACCCUCAGUACUUUUGGCUGGCGAUUUCAAUUCAACCCCAGGAGAUAAGUUGUGGCAGGUACACAUUGUGUUAUACACUUAUGUAUGUAAUAUACUGAAGAUGGGACCGUUGGGCAUAUAUGACGGCUUUAGUGAAACACAAACGGAGUCUCAGGUGUGUGCCCAUCUUUCUUUUUGCCAACUAUAACUCUUAUCAAUUAUAGUAAUUUUUUUAAAAUUUGCCAUCAUUUUUGACAACUUGAUUACAAGAGGACUAAAGAACGAACUACAACUCAUAAGAUUUUUUAUGGAGUAGGAAUUAGGGUAUUAUGGACAAAUUCUUAAUAUAUUAGGAUUAGGAUUAGUUUCUUAUAUUAAUUAGAAUUAGGAUUAGUUUGAUUUUAAUAGAGUACUUGUCUUCUUGUAUUCACAAAUUUAAAUAUUAAUAAAAUUAAGUCAUUUGGUCUACACCAUAAAAAAUUGUCAUCGAUGGAAAAUUGGAAAACUUUUCGUGAUGCUGAUCACAAGAGGGAGCUUUGUGAGUUGUUCUCAUUGCUAAACAACACAAAUCUAACUGGGAGAACCCUUAAAAUUU